GACGAACGCUGGCGGCGUGCCUAAUACAUGCAAGUAGAACGCAGUUGCGCACGGGUGAGUAUCGCGUAGGUAACUGCCUCAUAGCGGGGGGUAACUAUUGGAAACGAUAACUAAUACCCCAUACUGUGAGAUGGACCUGCGUUGUAUUAGGUAGGGGGUGAGGUAAAGGCUUACCAAGGCGACGAUACAUAGCCGGCCUGAGAGGGGGAUCGGCCACACCUGGACUGGAAAACCGGCCAGACUCCUACCGGAGGCAGCAGUAGGGGAUUUUCGGGAAUGGACGGAAGUCUGACCGAGCAAAGCCGCGUGAGUGAAGAAGGUUUUCGGAUCGUAAAGCUCUGUUGUUAGAGAAGCGUUAACUACACAGAAAGGGACGGCUAACUACGUGCCAGCAGCCGCGGUAAUUC
rnacentral:rRNA from 1 species